AUACGUAGGGAGCGAGCGUUGUCCGGAAUUACUGGGUGUAAAGGGAGCGUAGGCGGGAGUGCAAGUCAGAUGUGAAAUACAUGGGCUCAACCCAUGGGCUGCAUUUGAAACUGCAUUUCUUGAGUGAAGUAGAGGUAAGCGGAAUUCCUGGUGUAGCGGUGAAAUGCGUAGAUAUCAGGGGGAACACCGGUGGCGAAGGCGGCUUACUGGGCUUUUACUGACGCUGAGGCUCGAAAGCGUGGGGAGCAAACAGGAUUAGAUACCCUGGUAGUCCACGCUGUAAACGAUGAUUACUAGGUGUGGGGGGACUGACCCCUUCCGUGCCGCAGUUAACACAAUAAGUAAUCCACCUGGGGAGUACGGCCGCAAGGUUGAAACUCAAAUGAAUUGGCGGGG
rnacentral:rRNA from 1 species